CCCCCCAUGGGGGCAUGAUCUUAGGGUAAAGUCAAAAUGAAAAUACUGAAUAUAUGGGAGGCCCACUCUGAGUCUCACUGCCUCCCGUGUGCCUGCUACAUGGAAUUCUCAAGAGCCAUGAGCAUCUCACUCACUUCCUAGUCAGAGUGAGUGGCUCGUAGCAUCUUGACAGGAUUGGCACCUGAGAAUAAAAUGCCACCUGAGGACUCCUGGUGGAGCCCUCCAUGAAGCCAUAUCAAGAGUGGCCUUAACUGUGUGCCAGGCAGUGGGAAGUUCUAGGGAAACCUUUGAUGGAUUCUUUGGGGAGGGGGGAUACAGGUUGACACUGUCCCUUGAGCAAAAAGGAGGGAGAACUAGCUGAUGGUGACCAGCCACAUCCUAUGCAAUAGGAGCUUGUGUCCACAUGGUGACACGGUCGGUGACUUCCUUUCUCCUGCCAAUGACAAGGAGACAUCUUGGUGCAGGCCGUGGUGGAAGCAGCUGCUGUCCGAUUGUGCCCUGGGGCAGAGAUCAGGGUCCCUUUGCACCCUUGGGACCAGAUUCCUCUACCAUCACACAAUUUGGUCACACAGGGCUGGGGCAGGAGGACUGGAGGCUGCACAGUGCGGACACAGCACUCCUGAACCAGCUGAGCUCCCUUAGAUAGAAGAGUCCUUGUCAAAUGUGAGUCUCCUCAGUGCUCUGUCCCAGAGGGAACUGAUUGAUGGAGGAGCCGAUGAGCUCAGAGCUGGUGCGGGCAGUCUGGUCGGAUGGUGGUGACUCAAUGGGAAGAAAAGGACAGGAAUGGAGGCCCCUCACCCACACCGGUUGUCAAGCAUUGACAGGAAGAGGCCUGAGGUAUAUGCACAAAGACAGCUUAAUGGCUUUUGGUUAAAGCUCCUUCAGAACAUGCUGAGCUGGGAGAGGCUAGGGGAACCGUGGUGGCCCUGCAGUGGCUAGGACUGCUGGGCUAAAAGGGAGACACAACAGUAGCCAUAGGUUCAGGUGCUCCUCUCCCAGCACCCACCUAGCCCUCGGGGUACUGUGUGUACUCUGUGAAGGAGGUCUCAUUGAGCAAGGUCCCCAGUGCUCUGCCUGGCCCUUGAUGCCUUUAUACCUAGCACAGCUUCCUUGUGAGACCCUCCAAGGAUCUGUAAGCAGGAACCAUCAGGCAGGGAGAAACAGAGAACUGAGGCACACUGGCUAUAUAAGCCAUGUGUCCUGGAAGGUCUGUUGUCAACUUGGGUUGCGCCUAAAGGCAAGGUCACACAUGACUUGGGUUGUUUCUACAAGGAACCCCAAAUGAGACCAACAUGCCAGCCUGGGCUCUCAGGCAACCAGAUCUUCUUCAGGGGACAGCAGAGCAUAGUUUUGGCCUCAGCCAGCUUCUACCAGUAGUUGCCACCUCUAUAGUCUGAGCUUGAAGUCCAAGUAUGCAGUCUCUGCCAGGCAACUCUACUAGCAACUCCAGGGCAUUUCAUUUCCAGCCCAUGAACCAAGCAUACUCCCAACCCAGGUACCACUCUGCCUCUCAGUGAGGGUGAAGAGGUUUGGAAUCAGGUAGCUCUGCCCAUUUGAGGUGCACACCCUCCACAGGCCUGUGUGCACCUGCAUCCUGCCAGCUACAAAGAUCCUAGCAAUGAUGUUGACUCUGGGGCUGGGUGCCUGGCACUGGGAUGAAGAGCUAGGGGUUAGCUUGAGAAAUGUUCUGAUAUGGGUGAUAGGGGGAGGAAUGCCCCAGAGAUGGGUUUCCCUGAAAGUCCCUUUCUUAUAUUUUUGGUUGUAAGCCUAGCCUUUAAUGGCUGAGCCAUCUCUCCAGCCCAAAGUCCCUUUCUUAAAUGGGCUCUCAUUGCAGUGAGAGGCCUGGGGACAAGACAGUGUCUAGAAAUUCUCUUGUGAUGUGACCAGCCCCAGAUGCAGAGUCCAUGUGCCUCAUGUCAAGAUCAGACCCAGGACAGUGAAUCUGAAUGUCUUCAGAGGGGGAAGUGGGUCACUGUGGGGCCUUGGAGCUUCUGGGACAACAAGGGGACAUGUCAGGGAACCCCACAGCUUUUGGUCCUUAGCAAACACCAUGGGCAGAUCCUGCAGGUCUCGGUGGCAACCACCUCAUUGGGCUGAGGCCUGCUGAACUCAGAGGCACCCAAAGAGGCCACCGUGACCUUGAUGAACAGUGUUGUCCUGCUGUAGCAAGAUCCUUGAAACCUGUUGCCUACAUCCCACAUCAUGGCCUGGUUGAUGGCCUCUCUCACACACACACAGAGAGAGAGAGAGAGAGAGAGAGAGAGAGAGAGAGAGAGAGAGAGAGAGAGAGAAACAGCAGAAGAUGAGAGGGAGGAUGAGAGAAAGCCACUGAUUUACCCAUUAAGAAAAUUUGUGGAGAAUACUGCAUAGGAACCGAGGACCACGGUGAUCAGCAUCUCAGGAUUCAGGCGAAUGCAUGAUGUGUGUGUCCUACUCUUCCAGGGAUCCUCCUCUUGCCCCAUCUUGAGCUGGGAAGUGCUGGGCUGGGGGCCAGCAAAACACUCUGGCUCUGAUAGUGGACUCAUUUUUAACUGGUAUUAUUUUAUUAGCAGCUUUACUCAACCGGUUGGCAGCACCCCAACCCAGCCACCAGCCGACGACCCAGCUACAGGCCUCAAACACAGGACCUGCCUGUCCACCAAGGUGACAAGGCCCACUCUGCUUAUUGCUUCUCACCUGGGAAGUUACUGCAGAGUGUAAAUGUGGCAUAUAACUCUUGGAGACCGGCUGGAGCUGGAACAGCUUAUCAAAGCCUUUGGUGAUAUCUCACAACAGAGGUCUGGGGGCAUCAGGAGAUGGUGUCUGCUGGGACAUUUGGUUGGAGACAGGAGUCCAGAUUCUAUGUUAGGAGAUAUAGACGCUGCUUUUCUUCAGCUCUUGUGUCGGAAAGAAGUUGGCAGGCCAUGGGAAAGUGUCCAGGGUGGAGCACAUGGUCUUGGGAGAGAAUGAGGCCAACAUGGGCAGCAGGUCUGCUUUUUCCACUCAGCUGGGAGCCUUCCUGAGACUGGAAGAGGCUGGUCUUUGAGGGCAGAGCCAAUGUAGAUUGGGCACCAAUAGGACAUCUGGUCAUGACAGUAUCUAUGUAUCUGGUUUAGGCAUACUUAAAGCCAGUAAUACUCCAGACUGAGUUACAACUCCCCAGGUCCCUCUCUGUCAGGCCAGUUUGGGUUUGGUUUUCCAUCACUUCCAAGUGAAGAAGACCUGCCGGCCUUCGAGUUCUAGGGGGUAGUGUGUGGGGCAGACCCCGCUCAUGUCAGGUGGUGGAAAAGACACCAUAGUCUGUCUCAUAACAAGAAAAACAGCAGACAAAUCCAAACCAAGGGCCAUUCUGUAAAGUACUGGCAUGUCACCAAGACUAUCAUUGCUAAUUUUUUAAAGAGGGACAUUCCAUGGACGAUCACAGCUCUGAGGACAUGGGGCAUCUGAGUGUCAUGUGGGGCUCUGGGACAGAGAAGGACAGCAGAAAAAAGUUGCUGGAUUCCCACCGUGGUGAGAUGUACAUGAAGAUAUCUCACUAAGUUGAUGUGAGGGUGACUACCGGCUUGGGGACUCUACACCUUUCACCUGAAACUAUUCCAAAAGUGGAAAGUGUCCUUGAAAUGGGAGGAAAGUGGAACCGAUUGCUCCUUCAGAGGUGAGUGUCUGUCCAUCCAGUCCGUAAGAGUGAGAAGCUGUGGCAGGUGCUCUCAGAUUUAUUACCACCUCCGGGAUUCUGAGGAAGAGCCUGCAAAAUACUUGCAACACUCCACUAGGGGGAGCUAUGAGCACCAAAUUGCUUUAUGAGGGCAAAGUCGGCUGUGGGAAAAUGUCACUAACAAAUGCCUUUCCUGGAUUCGGUGGGUAGGUGGGUGUCACAGCAGGCCGUUCUCAAAGCGUAACAGCUAUCUGAAUGAAAUACUGGAGGUGUGGGGGCCUCUGCAAGACAGGCAGCUGACCGCCCCUUCCCCCAGCCUUCCCAGGGUUACAGACAGCAGAAUUCCCAGACAGACUAGGCCUCUGUGGGGGCGGUUUCAUCAGAGACCCCCGGGGUACACUGCUGCAGCCACCCUGUCCUGGUGCCCAGCCCCAAGGCUGAGCCGCUGGUUGGCUGUGGCCAUCGAGCCCCCUUACAGUAAUCGUUGUGAUGAUGCUAAAUGUGUAGAGACUGCUUUCCCGGAAAACUGCUGACUUGCUCGUCUGGGAAGGGGAGGUGGUGAGAGACAGCCUGAUCCAUUCGACGCCUGAUGGCUCAGACCUUAAUCAAUCCCUCCUCUCGAAGCUAAAACAGUUGUGAUUUAUGAAAUCCUGCAAGUCGGAUCUCACGCAUUCUGAGCAGCAAAGAGGCACGCUCACCCGAUACCCUGCCAGGCAUGGCUUGUUUGCCUCCUCCAGACUUCUCUGAGAUUCUGGACCUGCUUUCCCUGGUCCCCCAGUCUUUGAGUUCAAUAGGGAACACAGCAAACGAACAUUCUGUGUCUCCCUGGGAUCUGCCACACCCUCCCCGGCAGCCUUCAAGGGACUGACCUGCCUCAUCACCUUCAUCAUCCAGCAGACUCUUGGGCAGUGACACAGGUUCACACGGUUCAGCGGAGGCUCUGAUCCUGACCCUAGCCUGGGACCAUUCUUUAUGCACAGUGAGAUGCCAACUGAGGAAAAAGCCAUUCUCUCAUUUGUGGAGGACAAACACAUUUUUAUUGGUAUGUUGCUCAGAAAUGACAGGAAAUACCAGCUUCUAUCCAGCUUCAAUUUGUCUCACGAGACAGUGUGCAUACGAGCACACAGGGGCGUGCUGUGUGCUGUGGGCGUGUGGAGGCCAGAGAUCAAGUCCAGGGGUCUUCCUCUAUCACUCUCCACCUUAUGUUUUGAGGUCGGGUCUCUCACUGAACCUAGAGCUUGUCGAUUUGGCUAGACUGGGCAGUGAGCUCCAGGGAUCCUUCUCCCUGUCCCUUCCACGUGAGCUGCUUCUCCUGGCUUUUUAACAUGGCUGCUGGGACUAUGGACUCAGAUCCUCAUACUUGCAUAGCAGAUACUCAGUUGGGCCAUCUUCCCCGCCCAGGCUUCAAUUGAAUUUUGUUUGAAAGGUAGACACAGUCACAGAGAAACGGACAAAAGAUUGGAAACUGUCCUUUUCACAAGCAAUAUGCUCAUGACAAAUGCUGACUUUAGUAUGAAUCCAAGGCACACUGUGAGAGAAUGAAUUCUCUUCUGUCAGAUUUUAAUUGUGAAGCCACAGAACUGACAAAGGGCCUGCUGGUGAGAAAAUCAACUUGACUGUCUUUCUGUAAAACGAAAGUUCUAAGGGUUCAUUUAGACACAGUGCACCACAGUUUCAGUAAAAUCUUCACAACAGACUGUGUCUUCCCUGGGAUCUGCCACACCCUCCCCAGCAGCCGUCAAGGGACCGACCUGACUCAUCACUUUCAUCAACCAGUAGACUCUUGGAUGGUGACACAGGUUCACAUGGUUCAGUGGAGACGCUGGGCCUGACCAGACAUUGAAUUUAACAUUCAGAGCUUGGAAUGAUCCUUGUGAGUUAAGUAAAUUAUGAUAAGAAAAUGUGUAGCUACAGUGUCAGAGAAAGUGUUAACUGAUAUGAAGCAAUAUCCAAAAUAUACUAAAUGGAGGGGACCCGAGGGGUAGUGCAGUGGGUAAAGGCACUUGCUGAGGAAACCUGCCAAACAUAGUUCAAUCCCUGAAACCAAUGUCAGUGCUUGUGUGGGAGUAUCCUGGAUAACUUCAGUGAUACGGUAAAAUGCGUCUCAAUUACAGGUGGGACCAUUCUCUGGUGUGUAUAAGUAGAGAAGGGGUACUGUGCAUCCCUUGCUUCUUCCCAUGACCAGCCGCUUUAGGCUCCCGUUGCCUUGACCUCCCGCUGUGAUGACUGAUUGUGCGUACCUUGAACUGUGAACUGGGAUAAACCCUUUCUCCCUUAAGUUGCUUUUGCUGGUGCAAUUUAUCACAGCAACAGGAAGGUAACCAAGAUGCAGACAAAAGGAGAACAGGGUCUUAGAUUUCUACACACAAGUUCCUUAUAGAAUUGCUCACAACAGCUGGGGCAGAAGCAGCCCAGAGCCCAUCAGUGGGUGAAUGAGACAACACAAUAUAUCAUCCACACAGAGUAUCUCUCAUCUCUGAGGAUGAGGGGUGUUUUGACAACCAUUACAGCACAAGUGAACACUGAGGGCACGAUGAAGAGAGAAAUAAGCCGGACACAAAAGGACAAAUGCUGCAUGAUCCAUCAACUUGAAUUCCCUGGAGCCACCAAAUGUAGAGACUGCAAGAAGAAUGAUGCCUAUCAGGAAAUAGGGACAGGGUGAUGGAGACUUGUGUCCAGGCUCUAGGAGAGGGUGAUGGAGACUGGUGUCCAGGCUCUAGGGAGAGGGUGACGGAGACUGGUGUCCUGGCACUAGGAGAGGGUGAUGGAGACUGGUGUCCAGGCUCUAGGAGAGGGUGAUGGAGACUGAUGUCCAGGCUCUAGGAGAGGGUGAUGGAGACUGAUGUCCAGGCUCUAGGGAGAGGGUGUGGUGACUGGUGUCCAGGCUCUAGGGAGAGGGUGAUGGAGACUGGUGUCCAGGCUCUAGGGAGAAGGUGUUGGAGACUGGUGUCUAGUGGGGAUAGAGCCUCAGUGAGGGAAGGUGAUCACUCUGGAGCUAAAGGGUGGUGAGGGUUUCACAACAGGAACUGAGUACCCUCAGCUGUGCAUUAGAAAUGAUGAGAUGCAUAAGCCUAGCACUAUAUAUGUCUCCCCAGAAUAAAAACCUACACUAAUGGUUUAACUACAACAAAACCCAAGCACAGACAGGCGGCUGAUGCAUUUCAAAACCAGAUUUAGCUGUGUUCUAGGGGGGGGGGGAUGAUGCCAUUACCAAAGCAGAGCACUUGAUUAUGGUUCUGGGUCAGAUUUCUCAGCUCUUGAAGCCCUGUUAUCCAUCUGUGUGGAGGAGGAAAGGGCUCACACCACAGCUUGCUGUAAAGGUCAGAGCCCGACUGUACAUGCAAUGUGCUGAGCUUGCGAGGCCAUAGCUCCCACUGUACAGCUGUUCUCGCUGUGUUCCAUGGCCCAUCUGACCCUUGGACAUGUGGACUCCAGGCUCUAUGGCCUCAGUCUGGCAAGCCAGUAAAAGACAGUGGGUUUUGCUCUGAAUCUGUGAACUCAGGUCUUAGAAGAAACCAGGGAUAGGGUGGCAGGGGAGGUGAUUUUAGCAUGUGCUUCUCACAUGUCAAAAUGGGAUGAAGAUAGAAGACACCAACUGCAAAGGAAGGGCUUCCACAUGAGUCAGAGGGGGCCCUAGAUAUCAAGGACCUCAGGCCAGCAGCUGCUGUAUCCAAGUGCUGGGCACCCAAGUGGGCAUCUCAGCUAAAGCUGCCAGCGCAGAAUUCCCAUGUGUGAGAAGCUUGGGGGCGUCUGUUGUUGGUGUUCCGGAAGGCCUUCCCCAAGCUUCCCAGCAGAGCGAGAAAUGUAAGAGUGAGAGGGGAUGACAUGGGGGCUGAAUACAGAGACAGCCAUCCAAUGAGACCUUGCUGGGGUCCCCUGAGACUCACAUGAAUACUUGGCCGUCUGUGUAGCUCUGGGACCCUCCUAAUAGGUCUACCCUGGCAAGCCCAGAAUCGGUUUUUACAUCUAGGCUCCAUCUAGCCCAGACAUGCCAACACAGAUGCCUGGUGGAUGCUGGUGAGCAGAACACUGCCCCAGAUCCUAGUUAGAGUAUAUUUGCCCGAGGGACACAUCCUCUAUUAGCCGCAGGGGAAUAAGGCUUCAGGGACUCCACGGCAUGGCUAGGCCAAUCGGAAGCUGGGAAAGGAGGCUCUUGUGAGAUUUCUGCAGGACAGUGGAGUUUCUGCACUCUGGGGCCUACCCAGCCUGUGCACCAGGGUCUGACAUGCCCAUGCUGGACUGGAGCCUCUCUCCACCUGGCAUUCUGAGAUUAUUGCUUAUCCCAUCUACUCUGUUUAGGGUGCCCAGUGAGAAUCCUGAGGGCCACAGAUCUUCUCACUCCUCCUGAGUGAUGAGGCAUCAGAGAGAGUCCCAGGAAAGUUUCUGGCAGGUGCCCCAGGAUUUCCAUGCAGUGUAGACACUCUCACUGGCUCCCUCCAGCAAGGCUGGAGUGCCCGGGCUCAGCUGAGACACUUCCGCCCUCUGCUGGCAGAUAUGGGUACUACAGGGAAGGACUAGUGAGAAAAGCUGCCUGCAGGUGCUGGAGACUGAGAGCCUCCAGGAAUCUCAGGGCUUUACCAGGUCCGACAAGACCCAGCCCUGAGGCACAAAGGAGAAAGUUGGGGGAACUUAUUGGGUCCCAGAGCCAGAAAAGGGAACAAGAGUAGCCUACAGGGCUGGGAUUCUCUGUGCCACUUAGAGUCCCACUUUCUUACGAGUGGCAAGGUGGACAACAUUUUUCUAGUUGGAGAAACCGGGACGUUGAGAAGCAGGUGCCUUUGUGGGUUCCAGAUUGAAGCUCACUCUGGGGCCCGUGACAGGCUUGGGGAGGAGUGAGAGCAACAAUAGCAAUAAGCCAGGGAUGAAGCUAACCCUGGGGCUGCCGCUGUUGGGGCCACGUUCCCACAGCAUGACAGCAGCACAGGUCAGGAUGCCCUGGGAGAGGACUGGCCAUGCCAGACGUCUAGAGCUGACUCUGGAGUCCUUCUCAUGGAGACAAAGCGGUAUUUAAGACAUGCAGGUUCUAGGGUUCACUGUGGCCUUAUGCAUGGCAGAGCCCGCCUCCAUGAAGUUCACUCUAGGCCAAGCAGAGCCCUGAGCCUCAGCUUGAUCACAAUAGAGCCCGUAUGAGUCCCUCACCCACACAUGAGAACACAGGGCCCACACUGCGCAUGGCUGUCAGUCCCUCUGCUGUAAACAAGACUGGUUUAAAGUCAAGGUUUCCCUGGGUUGUAAGCCCUGGUUAUCCUCCUAAGAGAAUCAUGGGGCCUACAGGUGUUGCCCAUCAGUGCAUUCUCAAAAUCCAGGAUCCAUCGUGUCCCCAGCUUAUUUCUGGAGCUGGCAUGCACAUACUUGCCUUGCCACCCCUGGCCUCCCAGAAGCACCAGAGUUCUGAGCAUCCAGUAUCCUGUGACCGGCUCCUACUGGCCGCUGGAUCUCCAUACGACUAAAGCAUGCCUGGGCCAGACUCCAGCCUCACCAGGAUACCACAGGAUCCAGGACCAAACAGCGCCAGCUGUUUUACCACAAGCCCCAGUGUCUGGCGAUAAUGUGAGACCCAUAUGACUUUCCAGUGCAUAGAAUCCAGGAGAAAUUUAAUUAAAAUUGUUUUUUCUCUCACAGUUUUGUGACUAGAUCCCAGGGCCUUGUGUCUAUGAACCAAGUGCUCUAGCACUGAACCACAUCCCCAGCCUGAAAGACUUUUUUUUUUU
ensembl:lncRNA